rnacentral:SRP_RNA from 1 species
UCGGGUGAGUCCUGCACGAUCUGCACCCCGUGAAUCCCCCAGGUCUUGACCGAAGCAAGGGUAGCGGGAAGUGCGAUGCGAUGCAGGGGGCUCGCCCACC